CAAUUACUCUCACCUGCGACACUUCAAGUGUGCUCGGAAAUAUCUGUGAGCAACUGCAACCGUACAAUGCCGCGAUGAUUCACCACUCACCUUUGUGCCUCGAUUUCGGUCUCGAUUGUUCUAAUUAUCUCACCUGCGUCGCGACACUUCAAGCAUACUCCGAAAGCUCGAAAUAUCUGUGUGAAGUCAACCUCUUUUUUUUCCCUCGAUUUAUACAAAGAUCUUUAAUUAAUUUAGUCUUCUUUUAUUAUUAAUUUAAUUUAUUCUUUAAUGUCUUUUAAGAGAUUGUGUAGGUUCAAGAAUUUUUGUAAUUAUGCCUUGACGCGUAAGAUUACAUAUUUGCGUUCUCUGGAACUUUUUUAUAAGGAUAAUAAUGCUAAAUGUGUAUGUUUAAUUUAACGAGAAUAAUAAAUGGAUGACACGUGGAUGACAUUUGCAUUAGUAGCGAGUACAAUGCUUGCCACGGGGAGAUCGUAAAUCCAAUAAAAAAAAAAAGUAAGAUAAUUGUGUGCGUACAUGUGAUUACCUGAAAAUCGAAUAAAAAGUUAUAUCGUAAUAGCAUUGUAGAACGCCGCAGAGCAUUGCGGUCGCAGAAUGUAAGAAUGUUCUAUUUAAGGCGACCAACGCAGGAACAAAGUAAGCGUAUGGCGGAGCUUUGAAAUCGAUCGCAAGGAAAAAGGAGCACGCGGAAUUAGUUUCCUUAUCAUAUCAAACGUUUUACGAUUAGCAGACUCCUAUUUCGCUCGCGCUUUAUUAGAUUGUCUCGUCUUUGAGGCACGCUUUGGCACUUUUAAAUCAAUAACAUUAUCCGGUCGUAAACCGUCGCCGCUACGCUAAGAGGAUACUUGGUAAUUUUAUCGUCGCCGCUUUAUUAUUCCGGCGUAAUCUCUUUUUCGCGGAAAUCACGACUUCCCGGGCGCCGCAGUCGCGCGGAUUUAUACGGCGUUCGCGCAUCCGAAAUUAAUCCCCCCAUGAAGCACCACGAGGACGA